CGCGGGGUGGAGCAGUCUGGUAGCUCGUCGGGCUCAUAACCGAAGGUCGUUGGUUCAAAUCAGCCCCCCGCAACCA
rnacentral:tRNA from 1 species